UGCACCAUAUAAGGUGCCAUGGGGUGGAGCAAGCCCUUGAAGGAGAGCAGGGUCACUGUGAAGGGGGACAGAUGUCAGUGGAACAGAUCGCAUCUGAGACAGCAGCUUACAUGGGAUGCUCACACAGCCGGCCUACCACAGGCUGGGCUUUCCUAUUCCAUGGGAGUAAAACACCCGAGAUAUAUUGGCUUUGGUGGGAGGGAGUGGGGCAUGGUCUGUGAAGGAAGCCAUGCUGGUGUCUCCAGCAGGCAAGCCCUCUGUCCUUCCGGUGGGCACCCACAGUGCAUGCUCCUCAGAUGCUGUCCGCUUUCACACCUGCACUGUGCUUCAGUGUGGAACCUUCACACAGCAUGAACUCCUGUCACCUGGGCGCUCUCUGUCCUCUCUGACAACCAUGAGUUUGGUGACUGAGCAUGGAAGAAACUCAUGUCAAAUGUUUGCAUGGUACUAAUACCUCGUGUUACUACUCUGAACUCAAGAGGCUUUUAAAAAAAAAAAAA
rnacentral:lncRNA from 1 species